UGGGGAAUCUUGGACAAUGGGCGCAAGCCUGAUCCAGCCAUGCCGCGUGAGUGACGAAGGACUUAGGGUUGUAAAGCUCUUUUGCCGGGGACGAUAAUGACGGUACCCGGAGAAUAAGUCCCGCCUAACUCUGUGCCAGCAGCCGCGGUAAUACGAAGGGGACUAGAGUUGUUCGGAAUUAGUGGGCGUAAAGCGCACGUAGGCGGAUUUGUAAGUCAGGGGUGAAAUCCCGGGGCUCAACCUCGGAACUGCCUUUGAUACUGCAAAACUCGAGUCCGGUAGAGGUGGGUGGAAUUCCUAGUGUAGAGGUGAAAUUCGUAGAGAUUAGGAAGAACACCGGUGGCGAAGGCGGCCCACUGGAUCGGUACUGACGCUGAGGUGCGAAAGCGUGGAGAGCAAAGAGG
rnacentral:rRNA from 1 species